UACGGAGGGUGCAAGCGUUAUCCGGAUUUACUGGGUUUAAAGGGUGCGCAGGCGGAUAUGUAAGUCAGUGGUGAAAUCUUCCCGCUUAACGGGAAAGCUGCCAUUGAUACUAUAUAUCUUGAAUGCUGUGGAGGUAAGCAGAAUAUGUCAUGUAGCGGUGAAAUGCUUAGAGAUGACAUAGAAUACCUAUUGCGAAGGCAGCUUACUACGCGAGAUAUUGACGCUCAUGCACGAAAGCGUGGGGAGUCGAAACAGGA
rnacentral:rRNA from 1 species